rnacentral:rRNA from 1 species
GGAUUGCAGGCUGCAACCCGCCUGCAUGAAGUUGGAAUCGCUAGUAAUCGCGGAUCAGCAUGCCGCGGUGAAUACGUUCCCGGGCCUUGUACACACCGCCCGUCACACCAUGAGAGUCGGGAACACCCGAAGUCCGUAGCCUGACCGCAAGGGGGCGCGGCCGAAGGUGGGUUCGAUAAUUGGGGUGAAGUCGUAACAAGGUAGC